rnacentral:ncRNA from 1 species
AGCUGGCCCGAUGUUACGCGAGUACGUAUAGGCGGCCUUUCGGGGUCGUCCAAGAUCAUAACAUUGCAAUUGGCUCUAGGGUCAACAAAAUGACCCUAUCCAGUGCUUAAUCACAAGUUUAAAUAUCGGGUUAGACAAAUCCUUUGUACACGACUUAAAUAAAGAACGAGGUAUUGUACGCAUGAGAGUGGCCUUUGUGCCACGAUCUGCUGAGAUUCAUCCUUUGUUCUGGCGAUUUGU